rnacentral:lncRNA from 1 species
GAGGAACAUGAGGGAGCAGAAGCUGGAGCUGCCCAUGGGGAAGGCUCUGCCCUGGCUCUCCUACUCUGCCUCUCCAUGCGAGGUUUGCUAACGUGUCCAACUCACUCCACGCCGCUGUGAACCGAGGGCUGCGCCACUCAGCUGCUGGGGUCCAGAGGCGGCUCUGGCUCCCUACCACUGCUGCUCAUCCCUACAUAGCUAUUCUCUCUGAAAGACACAGGUGAAAAAAAUGCUGUUAAAAGAGAACAGACGUGGUCCAG